UACGGAGGGUGCAAGCGUUAUCCGGAAUCACUGGGUUUAAAGGGUGCGUAGGCGGCUUAGUAAGUCAGUGGUGAAAGACUGUGGCUUAACCAUGGAAUUGCCAUUGAUACUGCUGAGCUUGAAUCAGGUUGAGGUUGGCGGAAUGUGACAUGUAGCGGUGAAAUGCUUAGAUAUGUCAUGGAACACCGAUUGCGAAGGCAGCUGACUGGACCUGUAUUGACGCUGAGGCACGAAAGCGUGGGGAGCGAACAGGAUUAGAUACCCUGGUAGUCCACGCCCUAAACGAUGCUUACUCGUUGUUUGACACUCCGCAGCAAUGUGGAAGUUGAGUGACUUAGCGAAAGCGAUAAGUAAGCCACCUGGGGAGUACGACCGCAAGGUUGAA
rnacentral:rRNA from 1 species